UGGGGAAUUUUGGACAAUGGGCGAAAGCCUGAUCCAGCAAUGCCGCGUGUGUGAAGAAGGCCUUCGGGUUGUAAAGCACUUUUGUCCGGAAAGAAAUCCUCUGGGUUAAUACCUCGGGGGGAUGACGGUACCGGAAGAAUAAGCACCGGCUAACUACGUGCCAGCAGCCGCGGUAAUACGUAGGGUGCAAGCGUUAAUCGGAAUUACUGGGCGUAAAGCGUGCGCAGGCGGUUUUGUAAGACGGAUGUGAAAUCCCCGGGCUUAACCUGGGAACUGCAUUCGUGACUGCAAGGCUAGAGUAUGGCAGAGGGGGGUAGAAUUCCACGUGUAGCAGUGAAAUGCGUAGAGAUGUGGAGGAAUACCGAUGGCGAAGGCAGCCCCCUGGGCCAAUACUGACGCUCAUGCACGAAAGCGUGGGGAGCAAACAGGAUUAGAUACCCUGGUAGUCCACGCCCUAAACGAUGUCAACUAGUUGUUGGGGAUUCAUUUCCUAGUAACGUAGCUAACGCGUGAAGUUGACCGCCUGGGGAGUACGGUCGCAAGAUU
rnacentral:rRNA from 1 species